rnacentral:rRNA from 1 species
GACGAACCGUGCGAACGUUAUUCGGAAUCACUGGGCUUAAAGGGCGCGUAGGCGGGCCGCCAAGUCAGAGGUGAAAGCCCCCAGCUCAACUGGGGAAGUGCCUUUGAUACUGGCGGUCUCGAGGGAGAUAGGGGCGUGCGGAACUUCCGGUGGAGCGGUGAAAUGCGUAGAUAUCAUGAGGAAUACCAGAGGCGAAGGCGGCUACCUGGACAAUUGCUGACGCUCAGGCACGAAAGCGUGGGGAGCAAAAGGG